UGGGGAAUUUUGGACAAUGGGCGCAAGCCUGAUCCAGCCAUGCCGCGUGCAGGAUGAAGGCCCUCGGGUUGUAAACUGCUUUUGUACGGAACGAAAAGCCUCUUUCUAAUAAAGAGGGGUGAUGACGGUACCGUAAGAAUAAGCACCGGCUAACUACGUGCCAGCAGCCGCGGUAAUACGUAGGGUGCGAGCGUUAAUCGGAUUUACUGGGCGUAAAGCGUGCGCAGGCGGUCUUGCAAGACAGUGGUGAAAUCCCCGGGCUCAACCUGGGAACUGCCAUUGUGACUGCAAGGCUGGAGUACGGCAGAGGGGGAUGGAAUUCCGCGUGUAGCAGUGAAAUGCGUAGAUAUGCGGAGGAACACCGAUGGCGAAGGCAGUCCCCUGGGCCUGUACUGACGCUCAUGCACGAAAGCGUGGGGAGCAAACA
rnacentral:rRNA from 1 species